rnacentral:rRNA from 1 species
CCGGGAGGGGAGUGAAAGAGUACCUGAAACCAUGUGCCCCCAAACCGUCAGAGCAUCUCUGUGUGGGGUGUGAUGGCGUGCCUUUUGAAGAAUGAGCCUGCGAGUCGCGGCUGCGUGGCGAGGUUAACCCGUGGUGGGGUAGCCGGAGCGAAAGCGAGUCUGAAGAGGGCGUUCGAGUCGCGUGGUGCGGACCCGAAGCGGAGUGAGCUACCCAUGGCCAGGGUGAAGCGCGGGUAAGACCGUGUGGAGGCCCGCACCCACCUGGGUUGAAAACCGGGGGGAUGAGCUGUGGGUAGGGGUGAAAGGCCAAUCAAACUUCGUGAUAGCUGGUUCUCCCCGAAAUGCAUUGAGGUGCAGCGUCACGUGGUGCCCGGGUGGGGUAGAGCACUGGUUGGUGGCGGGGCCCGAUGAGGGUUACCAACGUCAGCCAAACUCCGAAUACGCCCGUGGUAGCAGCGUGGCAGUGAGUCCGUGGGGGAAAAGCUCCACGGUCGAGAGGGAAACAGCCCAGAACACCGGCUAAGGCCCCUAAGUGUGCGCUUAGUGGAAAAGGAUGUGGGAUUGCCCAGACAACCAGGAGGUUGGCUUAGAAGCAGCCAUCCUUGAAAGAGUGCGUAAUAGCUCACUGGUCGAGUGAUCCUGCGCCGAUAAUGUAGCGGGGCUCAAGCGUACCGCCGAAGCCGUGUCACCGUGCCCAACUGUGUUGGGUGGGGUGGGUAGGGGAGCGUCCCCCACUGCGCGGAAGCAUCGGUGGAAACCGGUGUGGAGUGUGGGGGAGUGAGAAUGCAGGCAUGAGUAGCGCAUGGAAAGUGAGAAUCUUUCCCGCCGAAUGACCAAGGGUUCCUGGGGCAGGUUCGUCCGCCCAGGGUGAGUCGGGGCCUAAGGCGAGGCCGACAGGCGUAGUCGAUGGACAACGGGUUGAUAUUCCCGUACCCGUGGGCACGCGCCCAUGGCGGAACCGGGGAGACUAACCAUCCCGCUGCCCGCGCCGGCCUUCGGGUCGGGGCGGGGGUCAGUGGCAUGGGACCUGAUCCGGGAGUAGUCAAGCGAUGGGGUGACGCAGCAGGGUAGCCCGAGCCAGUGAGUGGUAGUACUGGUGUAAACCCGUAGCCCGCCGUCCAGGCAAAUCCGGGCGGCUUGUGGGUGAGAGGUGAGGCCGAGCCGUUGUGGCGAAGUCGGUGAUCCCGCACUGCCGAGAAAAGCCUCUAGCGAUGUGUGUCCAUGGCCCGUACCCGAAACCGACACAGGUGGUCUGGUUGAGUAUACCAAGGCGAUCGGGUGAACUGUGGUUAAGGAAUUCGGCAAAUUGCCCCCGUAACUUCGGGAGAAGGGGGGCCACCCUCGGUGUAGCACCGUGCGUGCGAAGCUAGGGGUGGCCGCAGAGGCCAGGGAGAAGCGACUGUUUACUAAAAACACAGGUCCGUGCGAAGUCGUAAGACGAGGUAUACGGACUGACGCCUGCCCGGUGCUGGAACGUUAACAGGACUCGUUACCCACUGUGUGGGGAAGCGGAGAAUGGAAGCGCCAGUAAACGGCGGUGGUAACUAUAACCAUCCUAAGGUAGCGAAAUUCCUUGUCGGGUAAGUUCCGACCUGCACGAAUGGCGUAACGACUUCUCCGCUGUCUCGACCACAGGC